rnacentral:rRNA from 1 species
GAACGCUGGCGGCGUAGCUUAACACAUAGCAAGUCGAACGAGUCAUCAUUUUUGUAAGCAAUUAGGCUUGCUAAGAGUGGAAUGUUGAUGACGUUAGUGGCGGACGGGUGAGUAACGCGUGGGUAACCUGCCAUAUACAGGGGGAUAACACUUAGAAAUAGGUGCUAAUACCGCAUAAGCGCACAGUAUUGCAUGAGACAGUGUGAAAAACUACGGUGGUAUAUGAUGGACCCGCGUCUGAUUAGCUGGUUGGUGAGGUAACGGCCCGACCCAAGGCGACGAUCAGUAGCCGGCCUGAGAGGGUGGACGGCCACAUUGGGACUGAGACACGGCCCAAACUCCUACGGGAGGCAGCAGUGGGGAAUAUUGGACAAUGGGGGAAACCCUGAUCCAGCGACGCCGCGUGAGUGAAGAAGUAUUUCGGUAUGUAAAGCUCUAUCAGCAGGGAAGAAAAAAAUGACGGUACCUGACUAAGAAGCCCCGACUAACUACGUG